UGGUUGUGGUUUCCACGAAAAAUUGGGUUCAGCCCCCCAGUCUAGAUUGUAGGCAUUAAGGUAUGGAUUAUUUCCUGAUCUGUAGCUCUUUGGGUUUGAUAUUGAUGAUAGAAAAUUAGUGCAUGGCUAGACAUUCAUUUACAAAGUGAGUGGGGCUCGAACAUAUUGUGCAAACUUGUUGUGAAAGAAGAAAAGAUGGAGAGGAAGAGUGUCUGAUAGCUAGUAGAUGAUCUAUUUAUGUAACAGCUCAUCUACUCUACCAUAGAGAUCCAUAUUCCCAGC
rnacentral:lncRNA from 1 species